rnacentral:misc_RNA from 1 species
UCGAAACCUGCCCAGCAGAGCGACCAGCGAACAUGUUUAUCAUGCAUGGGUGAGGGCCCAUGGUUUUGCCUUGUGCAACUCUUUGGUAGCCUCUCAUCCACGCCUAGUGGGCUUCCCUCWAUGGGGAGUUCUCUAGGCACAAUAACGAACCCCGGCGUGGUCUACGCCAAGGAACAUGAAUACUAGUGUGCCCCUCUUGACUGGUUUUCCGGAAAAGGUGGUGGCACCAAGUCGUAUAAAACAUUAAACGACUCUCGGCAACGGAUAUCUCGGCUCUCGCAUCGAUGAAGAACGUAGCGAAAUGCGAUACUUGGUGUGAAUUGCAGAAUCCCGUGAACCAUCGAGUCUUUGAACGCAAGUUGCGCCCGAAGCCUUUUGGCAGAGGGCACGCCUGCCUGGGCGUCACGCAUCGCGUCUCCCCCAUCCCACCAUGCGUGGGAAGGUGGAGGAUGAUGGUCUCCCAUGCCUCACCGGGCAUGGAUGGCCUAAAUACGGAGUCCCCGGCUGCGAGCUGCUGUGGCGAUAGGUGGUUGACAAGGCUUAGCCUAGGAUGCAUCGCGCCAAGCAGCACGCUGUCCAUGAGGCCUCGCAGGACCCUUAGUUGCUGCCCUUCGGGGCGGUAUCAACCGUU